rnacentral:tRNA from 1 species
UUUAUCAUGGUUAAGUGGUUAAGCGCUUGGCUUUCAAACCAAGGGUCCUGGGUUCGAAUCUCAAUGAAGACU